rnacentral:rRNA from 1 species
UACGGAGGGUGCGAGCGUUGUCCGGAAUCACUGGGCGUAAAGCGCACGUAGGCGGGUUGUUAAGUCAGGGGUGAAAUCCCGGAGCUCAACUCCGGAACUGCCUUUGAUACUGGCAAUCUAGAGACUGGAAGAGGUUAGUGGAAUUCCCAGUGUAGAGGUGAAAUUCGUAGAUAUUGGGAAGAACACCAGUGGCGAAGGCGGCUAACUGGUCCAGUACUGACGCUGAGGUGCGAAAGCGUGGGGAGCAAACAGG